CCUACGGGUGGCUGCAGUCGAGAAUCUUCGGCAAUGAGCGCAAGCUUGACCGAGCGAUGCCGCGUGCGGGAUGAAGGCCCUCGGGUUGUAAACCGCUGUCGUAGGGGAAUAACGGUCGGUGGGUUCUCCCAUCGAUUUGAAUGAUCCUAGGAGGAAGGACGGGCUAAGUUCGUGCCAGCAGCCGCGGUAAGACGAACCGUCCAAACGUUAUUCGGAAUCACUGGGCUUACAGAGUUCGUAGGCGGUCUGGAAAGUUGGGUGUGAAAUCCCUCGGC
rnacentral:rRNA from 1 species